rnacentral:rRNA from 1 species
AGGGCGAACGCUGGCGGCGUGCUUAACACAUGCAAGUCGAGCGGAAAGGCCCUUCGGGGUACUCGAGCGGCGAACGGGUGAGUAACACGUGAGCAACCUGCCCCUGGCUCUGGGAUAGCCUCCGGAAACGGGGAUUAAUACCGGACAUGACUCCUGACCGCAUGGUUGGGGGUGGAAAGUUUUUCGGCCAGGGUGGGGCUCGCGGCCUAUCAGCUUGGUUGGGGGGGUGACGGCCCACCAAGGCGACGACGGGUAGCCGGCCUGAGAGGGCGACCGGCCACACUGGGACUGAGACACGGCCCAGACUCCUACGGGAGGCAGCAGUGGGGAAUAUUGCGCAAUGGGCGGAAGCCUGACGCAGCGACGCCGCGUGCGGGAUGAAGGCCUUCGGGUUGUAAACCGCUUUCACCGAGGGGCGAAGCGAGAGUGACGGUACCGUGGGGAAGAAGCGGCCGGCUAACUACGUGCAGCAGCCGC